CUUGCUCCUCUGAUUUAGCGGCGGACGGGUGAGUAACACGUGGGUAACCUGCCUGUAAGACGGGGAUAACUCCGGGAAACCGGAGCUAAUACCGGAUGAUAACGAGAAGCGCCUGCUUCUUUUUUGAAAGUCGGUUUCGGCUGACGCUUACAGAUGGGCCCGCGGCGCAUUAGCUAGUUGGUGAGGUAACGGCUCACCAAGGCGACGAUGCGUAGCCGACCUGAGAGGGUGAUCGGCCACACUGGGACUGAGACACGGCCCAGACUCCUACGGGAGGCAGCAGUAGGGAAUCUUCGGCAAUGGACGAAAGUCUGACCGAGCAACGCCGCGUGAGCGAUGAAGGCCUUCGGGUCGUAAAGCUCUGUUGUCAGAGAAGAACAAGUACCGGAGUAACUGCCGGUACCUUGACGGUACCUGACCAGAAAGCCACGGCUAACUACGUGCCAGCAGCCGCGGUAAUACGUAGGUGGCAAGCGUUAUCCGGAAUUAUUGGGCGUAAAGCGCGCGCAGGCGGUCUUUUAAGUCUGAUGUGAAAGCCCACGGCUCAACCGUGGAGGGUCAUUGGAAACUGGGAGACUUGAGUGCAGGAGAGAAAAGUGGAAUUCCACGUGUAGCGGUGA
rnacentral:rRNA from 2 species